rnacentral:rRNA from 1 species
CUACGGGGCGCACCAGUGGGGAAUAUUGCACAAUGGGGGGAACCCUGAUGCAGCAACGCCGCGUGGAGGAUGACGCAUUUCGGUGUGUAAACUCCUUUUAUAUGUCAAGAAAAUGACGGUAGCAUAUGAAUAAGCACCGGCUAACUCCGUGCCAGCAGCCGCGGUAAUACGGAGGGUGCAAGCGUUACUCGGAAUCACUGGCGUAAAGGACGCGUAGGCGGGUUGGAAAGUCAGGUGUGAAAGCCUACAGCUUAACUGUAGAACUGCACUUGAAACUUCUAAUAUAGAGUAUGGGAGGGGGAGAUGGAAUUAGUGGUGUAGGGGUAAAAUCCGUAGAUAUCACUAGGAAUACCUAAAGCGAAGGCGAUCUCCUGGAACAUUACUGACGCUAAGGCGUGAAAGCGUGGGGAGCAAACAGGAUUAGAUACCCCGGUAGUC